GUACUGACUGUGAAUACUACAUCUUGUACUGAGUCGCCCCUCUCUUCUGUGGAACAUUAGAAAGCAAGAGGAACUACCAUUUGUGAUAGACGAAGACAGAUUUGCAGGUGGAGGGAGUGACAAGACCUGAUUUGUUUUCUGCACAUAAUGAGUAAUCCUUCAGACACAGAGAUCCUCAUCUGCAGCACGAGAGAAAAGCUGGAGAAAAUGGCUGAGAUUGGAGAGGAGGGAGCAGAGGUAGAGAGGAAGUCAAAACCUUGGAAUGGAUGACGUACCACUUCCCCAAUGAAUGAAGCUGCAGAUUCAGCCACAUGUAGUUGAUGUCGCCAUGUCAAGACUGCAUUUUUCCUUCCAAACACAGAAGUAUGGGGUAAACUUAAUGCAGGACUAUGAAGAUGAAGCCAUUGAGGCCCAAGACUUUAUCUUGAUUACUUCAAUUCCUUGGAUAGGUUUACUCCCUGCCCACACUGGGCCCUUGUACAUGCUUAGACUGAACCUACUGGCCCUUCUCUUGCUGGAAAGUUGCCUUCCAAGAAGUGCAAGAGCUCAGAUUGCACCUGCUAACUGUUAAGACCAGACUUGGCCAGGCUACCAGAUCUUUCUGCAACAAGGCCAGCUUCACACUGCCUGAGCAGACCUUUCUGUUCUGCCAAAGGCAGCUGAAGCAGGGAAAAUGGAUCAGCAAAGGGAUCUGGGCCAGGCGCAGUGGCUCAUUUCUCUAACCUCAGCACUUUGAGAGGCCAAGGUGGGACGAUCACUUGAGGCCAGGAGUUCAAGACCAGCCUGGGCAACAAAAUGAGACUCCAUUUCUACAAAACAAUAAGGUUAAAAAAAAUUAAUCAGGUGUGGUGGCAACUAUGGUGCCAACUCUUGAGACGCUAAAUCGGGAGGAUCACUUGAGCCCAGGAGUUGGAGGCUGGAGUGAGCUAUGAUAGCACCACUGUAUUCCAGCCUGGAAGACAGAGUGAGACCCUGUCUCAAAAAAAGUAAAUAAAGGAAUCUGAACUCGAA